UUUCAUCGGCGCAGGGUGAGUCGGUCCCUAAGGCGAGGCCGAAAGGCGUAGCUGAUGGAAAACAGGUCAAUAUUCCUGUACCACGCCGUGAUGCGAUGAGGGGACGGAGAAGGUUAUGCAGGCCGGGUGUUGGACGUCCUGGCUUAAGCAAGUAGGCGUGCCGCGCAGGCAAAUCCGUGCGGCUUAGCCGAGAUGCGACGACGACCGCUCUUCGGAGCGGGAAGCUGCAGAUACCCUGCUUCCAGGAAAAGCCUCUAAGCUUCAGUCACGGAGUGACCGUACCGCAAACCGACACUGGUGGGCGAGAUGAAUAUUCUCAGGCGCUUGAGAGAACUCAGGAGAAGGAACUCGGCAAAUUGACACCGUAACUUCGGGAGAAGGUGUGCCGCUAGUAGGUGAACCCGUACAGGGGGAGCCCAAUGCGGUUGCAAAAAAUCGGUGGCUGCGACUGUUUAUUAAAAACACAGCACUCUGCUAACACGCAAGUGGAUGUAUAGGGUGUGACGCCUGCCCGGUGCCGGAAGGUUAAAUGAUGGGGUGCAAGCUCCUGAUUGAAGCCCCGGUAAACGGCGGCCGUAACUAUAACGGUCCUAAGGUAGCGAAAUUCCUUGUCGGGUAAGUUCCGACCUGCACGAAUGGCGUAACGCUGGCCACACUGUCUCCUCCUGAGACUCAGCGAAGUUGAAAUGUUUGUGAUGAUGCAAUCUACCCGCGGCUAGACGGAAAGACCCCGUGCACCUUUACUGUAACUUUGCAUUGGACUGUGAACCGAUCUGUGUAGGAUAGCUGGGAGCUUUGAAGUGGGGGCGCUAGCUCUCAUGGAGCCAACGUUGAAAUACCAGCCUGAUUUGUUUGCGGUUCUAACCUAGGCUCGUCAUCCGGGCCGGGGACCGUGCAUGGUAGGCAGUUUGACUGGGGCGGUCUCCUCCCAAAGAAUAACGGAGGAGUACGAAGGUACGCUUGGCACGGUCGGAAAUCGUGCUUCAAUGUGCAUAGGCAAAAGCGUGCUUGACUGCGAGACUGACAAGUCGAGCAGGUGCGAAAGCAGGUCUAAGUGAUCCGGUGGUUCUGUAUGGAAGGGCCAUCGCUCAACGGAUAAAAGGUACGCCGGGGAUAACAGGCUGAUUCCUCCCAAGAGUUCAUAUCGACGGGGGAGUUUGGCACCUCGAUGUCGGCUCAUCACAUCCUGGGGCUGUAGCCGGUCCCAAGGGUAUGGCUGUUCGCCAUUUAAAGUGGUACGUGAGCUGGGUUUAAAACGUCGUGAGACAGUUUGGUCCCUAUCUGCCGUGGCGUUGGAAGUUUGUGGGGGCCUGCUCCUAGUACGAGAGGACCGGAGUGGACGCACCUCUGGUGUACCGGUUGUCACGCCAGUGGCAUUGCCGGGUAGCUAUGUGCGGAAGAGAUAACCGCUGAAAGCAUCUAAGCGGGAAACUCGCCUCAAGAUGAGACUUCCCGGAGACUUGAUCUCACUAAAGGGUCGUCCUAGACCAGGACGUUGAUAGGCAGGGUGUGCAAGGGCUGUGAGGCCUUGAGCUAACCUGUACUAAUUGCCCGUGCGGCUUGACCCU
rnacentral:rRNA from 1 species